GAUGAAGAACGUAGCGAAAUGCGAUAAGUAAUGUGAAUUGCAGAAUUCAGUGAAUCAUCGAAUCUUUGAACGCACAUUGCGCCCGGCAGUACUCUGCCGGGCAUGCCUGUUCGAGCGUCAUUUCAACCCUCAAGCCCUGCUUGGUGUUGGGGCCCCACGGCUGCCGUGGGCCCUGAAAGGAAGUGGCGGGCUCGCUACAACUCCGAGCGUAGUAAUUCAUUAUCUCGCUUAGGGCGUUGGGCGGCGCUCCAGCCGUUAAAGAACCAUCUUUAACUCAAGGUUGACCUCGUAUCAGGUAGGAAUACCCGCUGAACUUAAGCAUAUCAAUAAGCGGAGGA
rnacentral:misc_RNA from 1 species